UAGCGAAGGGGGCUAGCGUUGCUCGGAAUCACUGGGCGUAAAGGGUGCGUAGGCGGGUCUUUAAGUCAGGGGUGAAAUCCUGGAGCUCAACUCCAGAACUGCCUUUGAUACUGAGGAUCUUGAGUAUGGGAGAGGUGAGUGGAACUGCGAGUGUAGAGGUGAAAUUCGUAGAUAUUCGCAAGAACACCAGUGGCGAAGGCGGCUCACUGGCCCAUUACUGACGCUGAGGCACGAAAGCGUGGGGAGCAAACAGGG
rnacentral:rRNA from 1 species